rnacentral:rRNA from 1 species
CGGAACGGGUGAGUAAUACAUCGGGACGUGCCCGAUCGUGGGGGAUAACGAAGCGAAAGCUUUGCUAAUACCGCAUAAGAUCUACGGAUGAAAGCAGGGGACCGCAAGGCCUUGCGCGAACGGAGCGGCCGAUGGCAGAUUAGGUAGUUGGUGGGAUAAAAGCUUACCAAGCCGACGAUCUGUAGCUGGUCUGAGAGGACGACCAGCCACACUGGGACUGAGACACGGCCCAG